rnacentral:rRNA from 1 species
GACGAACGCUGGCGGCGUGCCUAAUACAUGCAAGUAGAACGCUGAAGGAGGAGCUUGCUUCUCUGGAUGAGUUGCGAACGGGUGAGUAACGCGUAGGUAACCUGCCUGGUAGCGGGGGAUAACUAUUGGAAACGUUAGCUAAUACCGCAUAAUAGUAGAUGUUGCAUGACAUUUGCUUAAAAGGUGCAAUUGCAUCACUACCAGAUGGACCUGCGUUGUAUUAGCUAGUUGGUGGGGUAACGGCUCACCAAGGCGACGAUACAUAGCCGACCUGAGAGGGUGAUCGGCCACACUGGGACUGAGACACGGCCCAGACUCCUACGGGAGGCAGCAGUAGGGAAUCUUCGGCAAUGGACGGAAGUCUGACCGAGCAACGCCGCGUGAGUGAAGAAGGUUUUCGGAUCGUAAAGCUCUGUUGUAAGAGAAGAACGAGUGUGAGAGUGGAAAGUUCACACUGUGACGGUAUCUUACCAGAAAGGGACGGCUAACUACGUG